ensembl:piRNA 21ur-7502 ncRNA
UGUUGUGAAAGGAAAUUCAAA